rnacentral:rRNA from 1 species
UACGGAGGGUGCAAGCGUUGCUCGGAAUUAUUGGGCGUAAAGGGCAAGUAGGUGGUCUCAUUUGUCAGGGGUGAAAGCCUUGGGCUUAACCUGAGAAGUGCCCCUGAAACGGUGAGACUCGAGUACUGGAGAGGCGAGUGGAAUUCCCGGUGUAGCGGUGAAAUGCGUAGAUAUCGUAAGGAAGACCAGUGGCGAAGGCGGGUCUCUGGACAGUUCCUGACGCUGAGGCACGAAGGUCAGGGGAGCAAACGGG